rnacentral:tRNA from 1 species
UGUAAUACAGCUCAGUGGUAGAGCAUUUACUUAACAUGCACAAGGCUCCAGGUUCAAUUCCUAGUAUAAAAA